rnacentral:tRNA from 1 species
GGCAUUUUAGCUCCACGGUUAGAGCGUGCGACUCAUAAUCGCCCGGUCGCUGGUUUAAAUCCAGCAAGGGCCACCA